ACGCGGGGAGCGCGCAGGGGCCGGGCUCGGCGGGGGGCGGGCGAGGCAGAGCGAGGCGACGGCUGCGGCCACACUGCCGGCACCAUGUCGGGCACCCGGGCGUCCAACGACCGCACCAGCCACCCCGGCGCCGGAGGCGGGCUGAAGCGGGCACGCAGCGAGCCGGGCGGUAACAAAGUGACGGUGGUGCUGGGGGCGCAGUGGGGGGACGAAGGCAAGGGGAAGGUGGUGGAUCUGCUGGCCACCGAGUCGGACAUCGUGUGCCGCUGCCAGGGUGGCAACAACGCAGGUCAUACUGUGGUUGUCGACGGGAAAGAAUAUGAUUUCCACCUGUUCCCUAGUGGCAUUAUUAAUCCAAAGGCAAUUUCUUUUAUCGGUAAUGGAGUGGUUAUACAUUUACCAGGCCUGUUUGAAGAAGCUGAAAAGAAUGAAAAGAAAGGUUUAAAAGAGUGGGAGAAAAGACUGAUCAUAUCAGAUAGAGCACAUAUAGUGUUUGACUUUCACCAGGCAGUAGAUGGGCUCCAAGAAGUGCAACGUCAGGCCCAAGAAGGAAAAAAUAUUGGCACGACGAAGAAAGGGAUUGGACCAACGUACUCUUCCAAAGCUGCACGAACAGGCCUUCGAAUUUGUGACCUCCUUUCUGACUUUGAUGAAUUUUCUUCAAGAUUUAAAAAUCUGGCACAACAAUACAAGUCAAUGUUUCCAACACUGGAAAUAGACAUAGAGGGACAACUGAAAAAGCUAAAGGGUUAUGCUGAAAAAAUAAGACCCAUGGUUCGAGAUGGUGUGUAUUUUAUGUAUGAAGCUCUUCAUGGCUCCCCAAAGAAGAUUCUUGUUGAAGGAGCCAAUGCAGCAUUACUUGAUAUUGACUUUGGCACAUACCCUUUUGUGACUUCAUCAAACUGCACUGUAGGCGGUGUAUGCACUGGACUUGGUGUUCCUCCCCAGCACGUUGGUGAUGUGUAUGGUGUUGUGAAGGCAUAUACAACUCGGGUGGGAAUCGGAGCCUUCCCCACUGAGCAGAUUAACGAAAUUGGAGAUCUUUUACAGUCCCGUGGCCACGAGUGGGGAGUAACUACAGGCAGAAAGAGGCGCUGUGGCUGGUUAGAUCUUGUCAUUUUGAAAUAUGCUCAUAUGAUCAACGGAUUCACUGCCUUGGCAUUAACAAAGCUGGAUAUUCUGGAUGUCCUUGAUGAGAUUAAAAUUGGCGUUGCUUACAAAUUGGGUGGAAAAAGAAUUCCAUAUUUUCCAGCUAAUCAGGAGAUACUGCAGAAGGUGGAAGUAGAGUAUGAAACAAUGCCUGGGUGGAAGACUGACACAACAGGUGCACGAAAAUGGGAGGACCUUCCAGCCAAGGCCCAGAAUUACAUUCGAUGUGUGGAAAACCAUGUUGGAGUGCCAGUCAAAUGGGUCGGAGUUGGAAAAUCAAGAGAGUCAAUGAUCCAGCUGUUUUAAGCAAAGGAAGAAGUUCAGUGAUCUGAAGCACAAUUCAGUGUUUGCUUGUUCCUUACUGUUCCCUCUUUAAAUGGAGAUGCUAUUUAAAACCAACAUGUUCUUCUAGGAAUUGAAUAGAAACAAAAUACCUAUCCUGUAUUGUAACAUUUUAUUUAUCUUACGUGUCUCGCUAAUUUCAGUGUAAAAUCUGUUUGGUGGCCAUCAUCAGAAAGAAAAAAUCAAAACAGUGCAUAACAAAAUAAGGAAAAGAUCAGAUCCAUAUAUUUUUUUAAAUUUGAGACAUUACUAUUUGAAAGUAUUUUACGUCAGAAUAGAGUUAUUUCUUCUUGAUGAAACUGGUAUUAAGAUUUUUCCAGUAAUUACUGGGUGAUUUUAGAGUUGCGAAGAUUGAAUUUUUUUCUUCCACUUCAAGUGUUAAAAUAGGUCUUUGGGUUGGCAGCAAUAAGACAUAUACAGUGUUCUUGGAGUGGUAGGAUUAUGCAGAUUUUCAGUUUGUGAAACACAGUAAAGUGAGGUAUUUUUGACUGUGCAAAGCAAACACAAUUAUCUAUAAUUUUGAUAUAACUAUUUUUUAUAGCCCACUGAAAUGAAUGGAGAGAAGCUAAAAUAUUUUUUUAACACAGAGCUUAUUCUAGUCACUGAAAUAACAUCUGCAGAGGGGCCAAACUGGAGAAAGUGGUCUAAUAACUCUUUUAAAUAUCCCAUGUACAAACAGGCAAUCCUUGAAGAGACUGUCAGGUGUGCAGUCUUUGUUUUAAGCAGUAGGGAAGGAGUGAAUGACGGUGGAAGAGAGUCCUCGGGGUGCAGAACUUGUAAGGAGGGUGCAGCCAAAGCAACGUGCAGUGGUUUAGUGAACCUGAGACGUUUCUUCCUGCUCAUGCAGUGAUUGUGAUUUCCAGAGUUUUACUGUAAGUGUCUGUUGAGGAACUUGGGACUUGCAGCUCUGUGUGGCACACUUGCUUCUGCAGCUCCCAUGUUUCCCAGAAUAAAUCAAUGCAUGACUUAACGAUGACUGCUGUGGUAUUUACACCCCUCGCACAUUUUGACCUUCCUCAGCAAAAUGUAAUACCUAAUUAUAGAAGGGGAUGACAUGUGGCAGCCAGGCUUGUGACAUGUAGAAGCCAUGGAGAGGUCCCCAGAACCUUCAAGAAUACACUUGGAUUUCUUUGUGGGUCUUCUAACUUCUAGUAGUUAAGCAACAGGAGCUCUCAAAAAAGGCCUAGAGGAAGAAUAUACUAGAAGCCAACUUAUUCCAUAACUGAAGUCUUCAGAAUAGAUGUUGCUUUUCUACAUAUGUCUCAGAGAGCUCUAACAAUAUUUUUGUAUCAUUCCCAUAGGCUGCGGAAAAAUGGCAUCACAACCUCAGUAGUGCCAUUGUGCAAAGUGUGAAAAUACCCCUUUUCUGAGAUAAUAACUCAAAGGAUACGGAAGGAUAACAUUCUUUGCCUAGGAGAAUUCAUGGCCCAAAGCUGUGAAUCCUGAAUUCAGACAGAACUCCUCUGUUAGUCUUUGGCAAGUCAUUUAAUUUCCCUGUUACUGUUUUGCAGUCUGUAAAAUGUCACAUGGUAAAACUUCCUCGCCUGUUUUACAGUGUUGUGGGGAGCUCUGUGGCUCAAAUCUGCAGUCCUCGUUCUAACAUAGAUGAGGAAGUUCUACCCUUCAUACUGAUGAGAGUUAAAAUGAAAAAGAUUUCUGACCUUAUUUAAUGUUUAUGAAGCACUUCUGGCAGGUGCUUGCUAAGUGCUAAUUAGUACAAGCACUGUGAAAUGUACCUCGUUUAUAUGAGGCAAUUUAAGCGUAAAGGUUUUUGGAGAUAUAGCAAUAGUUCCAUUUUCACGUAGCUUCACCAUGUGACGUUUGCCUACUGGAUUAACCUGAUGUAUUCCUUUUCUUGGCCCCACUUUCAUGGGUGCAUUUAUGUUGGGGAUGGCCACUGUAUUUAAGCUUUAGUUAAUAUAUAGACCGAGUCCACAAUGACUGCAAGCCACUCUGUUUACUGAAUAACUGGAUUAAAUGAUCAACUCUGAAUGAUGUAAGUGGCAUAUUGAAAAUGAGGAUUUAUAGCUUAAUUUUCACAGGAUUACUGUCUCUUGUUCACCUAAUCUUUUAUUUUCCACUAAGUAUUUUUUUCCAUUAAGUGUCAGAUCCACAUUGCUUGUAUUUGCUUUCAAGGAUUCAUUGAAGCCCCAGUGAUGUUGUCAAUGGACUUGAUACUGUAGGCAAUAAAGUAAUAACUGUGCAUUUCAUUUCACAGCAUGGAUUUUCUAAAAUGAAAUCUCCUAUUAAAUUUUACUUGUGUUGUCGUUAAGCAUGAAUGCAUUCAGUUUUUUAUCACAAAGCUGUUGAACCUGCUGAGUGACGUAAUGGUUGGUAAGAACAUUUAAGUGUAAAUUUGCAUUCAGAUUAGCUGUUUCCCAUUAUUUUAUGGAUUGUAUUGUUUGAAAAUUGAUUUUAUUAACAGUCACUGUGAUAAAUUUGGUCUCUUCUUCCUUCCCAGCCAAGUGCAAUAAUAAUGAGUGGAAUUGGUUGAUGUGUCAUCCCCUAUGGUGUCCUGAUGGAAGGCUAAGGCUAUAUAUAAACUCAUGUACAGUGAUCUUUCAUUGGUAGCUGAAGUGUCUGAAGCAGUUUGAUUGAACACCGUGUGACACUAACGUUGCUCAAGGCAAAAGGGAAAAAACCAGCACCAACCAAGCACUGUGUUAAGUGAGUACCUGGUGGAUUGUUGGCUGCUGAAUUUGGAUGAGUUUGUUAGUGGAUGUCGCCAGUCCAGAAGAGGAUGCCUGAGAUGUGGAGCCUGCAUGGCCUUCACUGUACUACACAGGAUGCAUGGUGCAGCCUACUUCAUGGAGGUGAGAACUUUGUUCUUUCUUUUCCAAACAAGUGUGUGAAAAAGAAGCAUUGGUAGGGAACAACUGGCAGAAAUUCCUUUCUGCUGCUUUUACUCUUGUGUGGGCCUGAACUCUUCCUUAUUUGUCCAAAGUGAAAUAUCGUCCAUGUGGUAUCAGUCAUAGUAAGGUACUGAAGUAAAACCUGCAGAGGAGUCUCAAGAAUCUGCCAUUUAAUCUAUAUGCUCACAAGAAAUUAGUUGUUGAAGCACCUUUGUGUGUUGUUAAUAUCUGUUCAUUUCUGCAGUAUUUGCAUUAACUAUUGGCUCAUCAGCCCUGUGAGACUGUCCAGAAGAUGAGGAAAGAAAAAAAAAAAGCAGACAUUCUGUGAACACAUACUGUUUACAACCUCCUUUAAUGCAUCAGGUUUUGGCCAGCAGCUGCGCUUUGCAGUGGUUGGAAGUAGGAUGCACUUUGACACUGCACGAAUGUCUUUGGCAAAGAGAUGUCUUUCUCAGGAAAAAGCACUCGUGUGUUUGAAUGUUCUUGAAGUAUUGAGGUACUGUACUCUUAAUUUGGCAGGCACUGCCUUUUGGAAGUUGAAUAAGUACGCUGCGUUGCAGGCCUCCAAAUAGUGCUUCAAACAACAGUGUUAUGUUUUGGAGAUACCUUCCCAGUGCUUUAAUAAGUGACAGAGUAGUUUUGGUGGCAGCUGAAGUCCUUAGAAUACUCAGGGCAGAAGUACCAGUGAUUGAAAUCGUUUCUUUUGAAGUGCAGAACAGCCACCUGUAUGUGCCUUCACAGCAAAGGUGGCACUGUGCAUCUUCAUCUUCUCCUUUAUUGGAUUAAACUUGCAGGGCUAACUGAACCUAAUUCUUCAAGUGUGUGGAAAUGACAUUUGCCAGUGAGGUUUGUGGAAGCCCAGAUGGCCUCUAAAUAAAGUUUCUCCCAUGCAGGGGUGCUGAAGUGAGCCUUUGGGGCGCCUAACAAAGUCAUGAAGUUGAUAAAUACAGAGUAUUACCAUUUCUGUCACAUAAAAAGAUAUUUAAUGCUGUUCUUUGCUUCUGAAGUAGAAAGUCCCAGUCACAGACCUGCUGUACUUAGAGUGAUGUUUCCACUGGGAUUCAUGAAGUGGUACAGUGCUCUGCCAUGCAUGGGAACCUGUCCUUUGGCAAGUGAAAACAUUUUGAAUUGGGAGAAAUGGGAGAACAGAGUAGGACGCAGCUGGCUGAGAAGCAGCUUCACUACGUAGUACCUGCGGUUUACAGCAGAUGCCAGGCUGUAUGAACCAACAGUGCAUUCACAUUUUGAGUAAAGCAAACAGCAUACUGGCAUAUACCAGAAGGACAGUCACCAGGAGCCAGAAGGACAUUAGUUCCAAUUGCUCGUGCUGAUGAGUUGCUCGACUCAUUCAUGCUGAAUAUCCAUUCUUUUCCACUGGUGUUUGUUGGAAUGGCAUGUUUUGUGUCCUGGGUAAAUGGGUGAAGAAGAAAAGAAGAAUCAAGCAGGAUGAUGUGCCAUGCUUAUUUUAAGAAUCGGCCUCGUUGCAGAUGAGAGUAGCAGUGGUCCCAGUGCACAGUGAUGUGUACAUCAGGACUAUGGUUAUAACUUUACUGCUUAAUUAGUGCACGACAGCAUUAAAAUUUGGCAGUGCUGCUCAAAUUCGGAACUUUGCAUUUUGUACUUCAGCUUUCUUCUGCUUCGCUUAUUCCAGCCACGAAAGCCAUAUGCAGAAUACAGAAUCCAGACUAUCAACCCUCAAAUUGCCAGCAUAGUUUUUUUCAUUGCCUCCUUUAGUAGUAUUAUAUUUUGUGUUCUCACAUAAACUUGAAAGACUUACUAGAAACGUUUAUUCCUGCCUUGCAAUUGCAUACACUCAUUCUUUCAGAAUUCUGGAAUGCUUUUUAUAUAUAUACUAACAGAGCUGCAGUCAAGUCUGUGUCAGAUGAAAUACAGUUUGAAGACAUGUAUUGGAGUUUUUUGAAGGUUACAAAAGGUAUUACUUGACGUUCUCAAACAGUGGUAAGAUUCUCUAUCACUUCUAAAGAAGAUUACUAGAAAAGGUAAAAAGGAAAUCAAAACCAUGAUUUAGGUUAGAAUUUGGUCUACUGAUUGUAAGUUUAUGCAUUAGGCAAACAAGAAUUUACCUUCAGUGAUCUCUACU